GAGGGUAUAGCUCAGUGGUAGAGGACAUGCUUAACAAGUACAAGGUCCUGGGUUCAAUCCCCAGUACUUCCA
rnacentral:tRNA from 1 species